UAGGGAAUCUUCCACAAUGGACGAAAGUCUGAUGGAGCAACGCCGCGUGAGUGAAGAAGGUUUUCGGAUCGUAAAGCUCUGUUGUUGGUGAAGAAGGAUAGAGGCAGUAACUGUUCUUGUAUUGACGGUAUCUAACCAGAAAGCCACGGCUAACUACGUGCCAG
rnacentral:rRNA from 1 species